CUGGGUAUGCUACCCUUCCUUUUUUGGCGGUUUUACCUCGUAGUAACUUUCCAGAAAAACGAAAGGGUUAUGAUGAGAGAUUAUGUCAUACCCUGGCACAUGCUUUGUCCAAUGGACCAUGGAAGGGACUUUACUUGGCUGACGAGGACGCACCUCACCAGUAUCAGAGCAACAGCUGUGGGGUGUUUAUGCUGAUGGUGAGAUGCAUUAUUUUCAGAAAUGAUGACUGAUGACUAGUUUGCAAAACAACUAACUCAUUUGUAUGUUAAUUUCAGUACGCAAUGUAUUCUACCCUCAAAAGCAAUAUGAUUUCAGUCAUCUCAAUCAGAUGUGUAGCAUGAAAUAUAAGGCUUUUAAUAAUCUAGUCAUCCUUACUGGAGGCUACAAUUAACAUGCAUCAUAGGUCAUACACAUUAUUUGUCUUCAGGCACUGCACUUACGGGAGGAGAUGGCUACAUCUUCACAAUAAUUUACACUGCUAAACAGUACUGUAACAUGGAUUUGUAUUAGGCUAUGAAGUCAUUUAAAGCAUAACUUUACUUUUCAGGGGGACAUGCUCUAUCAGGAGGUGGUGGUUGGACAGCUGUUGGAGACCUUUAUGCUUGAAAGGUUUAUAUACUGUGUCCAUGUUGCUAUUUACUUAUUUUUGGUGCUCACGAAGAUCGUAGCCAAUACACUUGUCUCUCUGUCUCUAGCCCUGCAGAACUAGCUGGCUCCUUCUCACCCUCUCCAUCUCCCCAUCUCAGUUACACCUUCCAAUCACUAAGCAGUGAAAGCCCUGCAGGACUAGCUGGCACACCAAGCUCACCCUCUCCAUCUCCCCAUCUCAGCCACACGCUCCAAUCUGGCACAACAGAGGACAGGCCAUUCUU